UUGGUGCUCGCAUAACCUGCGGCACCCGUCCGUUGUGCAGGGGUACUGUGAAGUUCCGGCGUGGAAGCACGGCAUCCCAGGUUUUGGCUUGGGAGCAGGGGUGUCCUCCGUGCCUGCACAUAUAUGCAUGCAUGCAAAACCAACACAAUUAAGAACAUGUCGCUGGUUAGUUCAGUUAAGCAAAAUCAUGCGGAGUAAUAAAGUAAAAACAAGGAUUAUUAAUUGGUGCCAGCUGCCUAUUACCGAUUGCACCGAUGCAAUAUACGGAUGUGUAAGACAUGACUCCAAGAACCAAGAACACAGCGAUGAUUGCGCUCUUGAUGAUGAGUGCCAUGGGGAGAGAAGCUGUGAAACUUCUCUUCUCGUG
rnacentral:lncRNA from 1 species